CCUACGGGAGGCAGCAGUAGGGAAUAUUGCUCAAUGGUCGAAACACUGAACCAGCAACGCCGCGUGGAGGAUGAAGGUUUUCGGAUUGUAAACCCCCUUUGUUAGAGAAGAUAAUGACGGUAUCUAACGAAUAAGCACCGGCUAACUCCGUGCCAGCAGCCGCGGUAAUACGGAGGGUGCAAGCGUUACUCGGAAUCACUGGGCGUAAAGAGCGCGUAGGCGGGAUAGCAAGUCAGAUGUGAAAUGCUAUGGCUUAACCAUAGAACUGCAGUUGAAACUGUUAUUCUAGAGUAUGGGAGAGGUAUGUGGAAUUCGUGGUGUAGGGGUGAAAUGCGUAGAGAUCAAGAAGAAUACUGAUUGCGAAGGCGACCUGCGAGAACAUAACUGACGCUGAUGCGCGAAAGCGUGGGGAGCGAACAGGAUUAGAUACUCCAGUAGUC
rnacentral:rRNA from 1 species